GGCACUUUGGCGGAGUGGUUAACGCGAUGCCCUGCUACUUUCUUAGCUAGGCAUUUCCUUCGGGAGCGUGUGUUCGAAUCACACAGGUGUCG